AAAGCUGGUGCUGUCCUAGAAAUUGGGUCUCCCCUCCCAGAUCCAGGCUGCCUCCUGCAGGCUGCAGACUCUGACAUCCAGCCAUCUCAAUAUUCCAGAGAAGAGGAUGAGUGUGAAGGGUGGUGGCGAUUUUAAACAAGGUGAUCAGGAAGACCUUGUGGAUAACUUCGGGUCUGAGCACACUCCAUCAGGGUUUCCGUAGCAACCAGAGGACUUCACAGGAGAGAGUGAAGGGGAAUUAAGAGCCAGAGAGAGCAGAGGAGAGAGGAGGAGUCCGGAAGAUGCCUGGCUUGGGACCCGAGAGUGGCAGAAUAGCAAAGCCUGCAGCAGCCACAGCACUGUGGUCCUGAGACCCAGGCCAACUUCCUAGAGGACUGGUCGGUGACUUCAGAGGGUAGGGGUGGCCUGGGCCAACACCCAAUUCCAGCUGUCCCUCUGCCCCCAUACAUGCAGCCCCCCGAAAACCCAGAUUCCAAAACCACCUUCUUGGACUCUUCCCUGUUUCUAGCUUCUGACAUUCAAUCAUCUCAAUAUGACAAAUAUCACCAAGUCCUGCAGAAUAUUUCUUCACAAAGAACUGCCCCCUGUCCCAUCAUAAAGACACCUGGGCCACCCCAUGCUCUUCCAACCCAUCUCCCUGCCCAG
rnacentral:lncRNA from 10 species